rnacentral:rRNA from 1 species
AAUCAACGCUGGCGGCGUGCCUCAGACAUGCAAGUCGAACGAUUAAAGCUCUCUUCGGAGAGUGCAUAGAGUGGCGCACGGGUGAGUAACACGUAAGUAAUCCACCUUCGAGUGGGGAAUAACGUCCGGAAACGGGCGCUAAUACCGCAUAAUGCAGCGGCAUCGCAAGAUGACAGUUGUUAAAGGAGCAAUCCGCUUGAAGAGGAGCUUGCGGCAGAUUAGCUAGUUGGUAGGGUAAUGGCCUACCAAGGCUACGAUCUGUAACCGGUCUUAGAGGACGGUCGGUCACACUGACACUGAAUAACGGGUCAGACUCCUACGGGAGGCAGCAGUCGGGAAUUUUGGGCAAUGGGGGAAACCCUGACCCAGCAACGCCGCGUGAAGGAUGAAGUAUUUCGGUAUGUAAACUUCGAAAGAAUAGGAAGAAUUAAUGACGGUACUAUUUAUAAGGUCCGGCUAACUACGUG